CCUACGGGAGGCAGCAGUAAGGAAUAUUGGUCAAUGGGGGCAACCCUGAACCAGCCAUGCCGCGUGCAGGAUGACGGCCCUAUGGGUUGUAAACUGCUUUUAUACCAGAGAAAACCCGAGUACGUGUACUCGGUUGAUAGUAUGGUAAGAAUAAGCAUCGGCUAACUUCGUGCCAGCAGCCGCGGUAAGACGAAGGAUGCAAGCGUUAUCCGGAUUCAUUGGGUUUAAAGGGUGCGUAGGCGGACCUGUAAGUCAGUGGUGAAAUCUCUUUGCUUAACAAAGAAACUGCCAUUGAUACUGCAAGUCUAGAGUAUAGAUGACGUUGGCGGAAUAUGACAUGUAGUGGUGAAAUACUUAGAUAUGUCAUAGAACACCGAUUGCGAAGGCAGCUAACGAAACUAUAACUGACGCUGAGGCACGAAAGUGCGGGGAUCAAACAGGAUUAGAUACCCUGGUAGUCCGCACCGUAAACGAUGAUUACUCGUUGUUGGCAAUAUGACCGUCAGCGACCAAGCGAAAGCGAUAAGUAAUCCACCUGGGGAGUACGCCGGCAACGGUGAAACGUCAAAUGAAAUUGACGG
rnacentral:rRNA from 1 species